rnacentral:rRNA from 1 species
CUGGGAGGACCAUCUCCUAAGGCUAAAUACUCUCUAGUGACCGAUAGUGAACCAGUACCGUGAGGGAAAGGUGAAAAGCACCCCGGAAGGGGAGUGAAAUAGAACCUGAAACCGUGUGCUUACAAGUAGUCAGAGCCCGUUAAUGGGUGAUGGCGUGCCUUUUGUAGAAUGAACCGGCGAGUUACGAUUUGAUGCAAGGUUAAGCAGUAAAUGUGGAGCCGUAGCGAAAGCGAGUCUGAAUAGGGCGUUUAGUAUUUGGUCGUAGACCCGAAACCAGGUGAUCUACCCUUGGUCAGGUUGAAGUUCAGGUAACACUGAAUGGAGGACCGAACCGACUUACGUUGAAAAGUGAGCGGAUGAACUGAGGGUAGCGGAGAAAUUCCAAUCGAACCUGGAGAUAGCUGGUUCUCUCCGAAAUAGCUUUAGGGCUAGCCUCAAGUGAUGAUUAUUGGAGGUAGAGCACUGUUUGGACGAGGGGCCCCUCUCGGGUUACCGAAUUCAGACAAACUCCGAAUGCCAAUUAAUUUAA